rnacentral:rRNA from 1 species
AUUGAACGCUGGCGGCAGGCUUAACACAUGCAAGUCGAGCGAGCGGCGGACGGGGGAGUAAUGUCUGGGAAAAUGUCUGAGGGAGGGGGAGAAAUACUGGAAAAGGUAGCUAAUACAGCAUACCACAAGAGGUGUCCAGAUGGGAUUAGCUAGUAGGGGGGGUAACGGCUCACCUAGGCGACGAGCCCUAGCUGGUCUGAGAGGAUGACCAGCCACACUGGAACUGAGACACGGUCCAGACUCCUACGGGAGGCAGCAGUGGGGAAUAUUGCACAAUGGGCGCAAGCCUGAUGCAGCCAUGCCGCGUGUGUGAAGAAGGCCUUCGGGUUGUAAAGCACUUUCAGCGGGGAGGCGUUACCCGCAGAAGAAGCACCGGCUAACUCCGUGCCAGCAGCCGCGGUAAUUC